UUGAAUGAUGAAUAAGCACUGGGCGCUGAGCAUAUUAUUUGAUGCAUACCUAGAAAGCUAUUUCUGACAU